CAUGAGUGGAGUUUGGGGUACAGGGAUGAAGUCAUCACUCACCCCAUUUCUUACUGUUUCAUAGUUUUUCCUACCUCCUAUUUUCCCCCCACCCUGUUGUAUAUGACAGAAAUAUGUUUCCUUUGCGCUCCUGAGGGGCUUGAUGAAAACCUUAUACUAUGUCUGCUGGACAGGACACUGGAGCAAGAGAUACUGGAGAUCUCUCUGCAUCCUGGCACCAAACCCAAACCAGUAACUCUGGGACAUUCUUGACUGAGGGUUAACCUCAGAAACCUGGUAAUCCAUAUGAUCCCACAGCUAUGCCUCAUGGCCCAAAGGGCAGGAUUUCAUCUCCACCGUCCUUUUCUUCAACGUGAAGGGCUGUUGACCCUACUCACAGAGGGCUCUGUGUUGAACCAAGGUGCUUCAUGCAACAGUCCCAGCUGAGCUCCCAGCAGAUGCCAGCACCAUUCGCUAUCCAUGAUAAGCCUCUGAUGCAAUCACUUGUGUUAAGAAAUUGAGAGAAUGUUGAUAUAAACUGCUCCCUGAGCCAUAUGGAAAGCUGUAUCUUCUGCAGGUUGCUUGGUGAGUAUGCAAGGAGUACAAGGUAUAUUUAUUCACUUUGAGAAGUGUUUCUCUAAGAAGGUAUCCUGAAAUAUUUUCUCCUGCUACAGGGAUAGCCCUUAACAAGGAAGUCACUUUCCUUGGGCACACAUAGACAGGGCUCCUUCAGCAGACAGCAGAUAGAUAUGCAAUGCAGGCCUUGUUUUUUUGUGAUGGUCCCAAUGUAUCACUGGAUAAGUCUG
rnacentral:lncRNA from 1 species